AAGAGCUCAAAUUUGAAAGCUGGCUCCUUCGGGGUCCGCAUUGUAAUUUGCAGAGGAUGCUUCGGGAGCGGCCCCCAUCUAAGUGCCCUGGAACGGGCCGUCCUAGAGGGUGAGAAUCCCGUCUGGGAUGGGGUGCCCGCGCCCGUGUGAAGCUCCUUCGACGAGNCGAGUUGUUUGGGAAUGCAGCUCUGAAUGGGUGGUAAAUUUCAUCUAAAGUUAAAUACUGGUCGGAGACCGAUAGCGCACAAGUAGAGUGAUCGAAAGAUGAAAAGCACUUUGAAAAGAGAGUUAAACAGCACGUGAAAUUGUUGAAAGGGAAGCGCUUGCGACCAGACUCGCCCGCAGGGUUCAGCCGGCAUUCGUGCCGGUGUACUUCCCCGCGGGAGGGCCAGCGUCGGUUUGGGCGG
rnacentral:rRNA from 1 species